GUGGGGAAUAUUGGACAAUGGGCGCAAGCCUGAUCCAGCCAUGCCGCGUGAGUGAUGAAGGCCUUAGGGUUGUAAAGCUCUUUCACCGGAGAAGAUAAUGACGGUAUCCGGAGAAGAAGCCCCGGCUAACUUCGUGCCAGCAGCCGCGGUAAUACGAAGGGGGCUAGCGUUGUUCGGAAUUACUGGGCGUAAAGCGCACGUAGGCGGAUAUUUAAGUCAGGGGUGAAAUCCCAGAGCUCAACUCUGGAACUGCCUUUGAUACUGGGUAUCUUGAGUAUGGAAGAGGUAAGUGGAAUUCCGAGUGUAGAGGUGAAAUUCGUAGAUAUUCGGAGGAACACCAGUGGCGAAGGCGGCUUACUGGUCCAUUACUGACGCUGAGGUGCGAAAGCGUGGGGAGCAAACAGGAUUAGAAACCCUAGUAGUCCC
rnacentral:rRNA from 1 species